CCAAAUAGUGUGGUCAAAGAAGUCAAGGCUUUUCAGAGUAGCUGAGACCAAAAGCUACCCUAAAAGAUGUAGAUUUUGCCUUUUUGUGAAUAGGAGAGCCAUGGAAGGUUUUGUAACAGAAGUGAGAUUACAUUUGUAUUUUUGAAAGUAUAGGAGGGAAUAAAUCUGAACAGGGGAAGUUUUGAAGGUAUGAAUUAGUUCUUACCAGUUCAGGUGAGUGAGGGAUGAUGAUACUUAAAUAAGGAAAAAGGGGACAAUUUGAGAGAGAUUUAAGAGGCACAGUUUAUCCUGGAAAAGAGAAGACAAAGAUGACUUCAGAGGUUCUAGGAAGGGUGACAACAUGGAUGCAGCUACCAGUAAAUGAAAUAGGAAGCAGGAGGGGAUCAGGGUGAGUGCCUGAGAUCUGGAGCCUAGUUUGAGUAUUGAUUUGGAAGUGCUGUGGGGCCUUCACAAAUGGCUUUUAGGCAAUUAAAAUGUGCUUUGCAAGCUGAGGAGAGAAGAUCUGGGCCAAAAAUAGAGAUUAAGAAUUCCGAAGGCAAGAAUCAUAGGUUGGAGUCAUGUUUCAGCUCUGGUAGGACCUUAAGCACACCCACCCACUACUCCAACUCAAGUUUCACACGUGAGUAAUUCACAAGGUAUUCACCUGUCACAUUUAGGACCCAAUUAAGAAUAUAACUUUAGCCAAGGAAGCGAGGAGUGAUGAGGCCAGUUACCAGUAUGUAAGAGUCGCUGGACCGUGACCCUUGUCUCACUUGUCCUAAUGUCCCUCUGUAACAGUGGUCUACUUUAUGCUUUGAAUAUAGCCCUUGCUUCUCUGCCACUGCAACUUAUUUUUUAAGUGAACAUGUUUCUUUCUCUUCCUCUCUCCCUGCUCCUCCCUAAUCUCUCCCCCUCCCUAAUCUCAGGGGAAACAGGGUCACCUUUCUUUCCCAUCCUAGGCAGAGUUAUCUGUCUCUGAGUAUACACCACCAUAGGAAUAAUCCAAACUCUGGGGAUGGCACCAGAAGAUCUCAGAAAUGACUGCCUCCCAAAUUAACAAGUGAGUUACAACUCUAACAGAGAAUGCCUGGAAUGUAGCCUUUCAAUCACCUCUCUUAAAGCCCCCCCUUCCUGCUGAUGGGUAGAAUCAUAGACUUUGGGACAGGAGUCCCCAGUAUUUCUCCUUUCC
rnacentral:lncRNA from 1 species